AUGGGCAAGUUCAUGAAAAAGUGGGAAAGUGGUGCUGGUCCUGGCUGGAUGCUACUCUGGACGCAAAGCCAUUAUCAUGAAGGACAUUGAUGAUGGCACCUCAGUCCAUUCUUACAGUCAUGCUUUGGUAGCUGGAAUUGACUGCUAUCCUCACAAAGUGACAGCUGCCAUAGGCAAGAAGAUCUCCAAGAGGUCAAGGAUCAAGUCUUUUGCAAAAGCUUAUAACUGCAAUCACCUCAUGCCCACAAGGUACUCUGUAGAUAUCCUCUUGGACAAACUGUCAUCAACAAGGAUCUCCUCAAAGACCUUGCUCUUAAACACAAGGCGUGAUGGGAGGCCAAGAUCAAGUUCAAAGAAAGGUACAAGA
rnacentral:lncRNA from 1 species